AGAGUUUGAUCAUGGCUCAGAACGAACGCUGGCGGCAGGUUUAACACAUGCAAGUCGAGCGCCCGCAAGGGGAGCGGCAGACGGGUGAGUAACGCGUGGGAAUCUACCCAUCUCUACGGAACAACUCCGGGAAACUGGAGCUAAUACCGUAUACGUCCUAAAGGGGAGAAAGAUUUAUCGGAGAUGGAUGAGCCCGCGUUGGAUUAGCUAGUUGGUGGGGUAAUGGCCUACCAAGGCGACGAUCCAUAGCUGGUCUGAGAGGAUGAUCAGCCACACUGGGACUGAGACACGGCCCAGACUCCUACGGGAGGCAGCAGUGGGGAAUAUUGGACAAUGGGCGCAAGCCUGAUCCAGCCAUGCCGCGUGAGUGAUGAAGGCCCUAGGGUUGUAAAGCUCUUUCAACGGUGAAGAUAAUGACGGUAACCGUAGAAGAAGCCCCGGCUAACUUCGUG
rnacentral:rRNA from 1 species